GAUGAACGCUGGCGGCGUGCCUAAUACAUGCAAGUCGAGCGAACUGAUUAGAAGCUUGCUUCUAUGACGUUAGCGGCGGACGGGUGAGUAACACGUGGGCAACCUGCCUGUAAGACUGGGAUAACUUCGGGAAACCGAAGCUAAUACCGGAUAGGAUCUUCUCCUUCAUGGGAGAUGAUUGAAAGAUGGUUUCGGCUAUCACUUACAGAUGGGCCCGCGGUGCAUUAGCUAGUUGGUGAGGUAACGGCUCACCAAGGCAACGAUGCAUAGCCGACCUGAGAGGGUGAUCGGCCACACUGGGACUGAGACACGGUCCAGACUCCUACGGGAGGCAGCAGUAGGGAAUCUUCCGCAAUGGACGAAAGUCUGACGGAGCAACGCCGCGUGAGUGAUGAAGGCUUUCGGGUCGUAAAACUCUGUUGUUAGGGAAGAACAAGUACAAGAGUAACUGCUUGUACCUUGACGGUACCUAACCAGAAAGCCACGGCUAACUACGUGCCAGCCGCCGCGGUAACAC
rnacentral:rRNA from 1 species